AUUGAACGCUGGCGGCAGGCCUAACACAUGCAAGUCGAGCGAGCGGCGGACGGGUGAGUAAUGUAUGGGGACUGCCCGAUAGAGGGGGAUCACUAGUGGAAAAGGUAGCUAAUAACGCGUACUAGCGGAUAACCCAUAUGGGAUUAGCUAGUAGGUGAGGUAAUGGCUCACCUAGGCGACGAUCCCUAGCUGGUCUGAGAGGAGGAUCAGCCACACUGGGACGGAGACACGGCCCAGACUCCUACGGAGGCAGCAGUGGGGAAUAUUGCACAAUGGGCGCAAGCCUGAUGCAGCAAUGCCGCGUGUAUGAAGAAGGCCCUAGGUUUGUAAAGUUCUUUCAGUAGGGAGGCGUUACCGAAAGAAGAAGCACCGGCUAACUCCGUGCCAGCAGCCGCGGUAAUUC
rnacentral:rRNA from 1 species